GUGAAUCAUCGAAUCUUUGAACGCAAAUUGCACUCCCUGGUAUUCCGGGGAGUAUGCCUGUUUGAGGGUCAGUUUUAAUUAAAAUCGGUGUGGUGGCUGCCUUUCGUGGUGACGUACCGGGUUUGGGUCGGCCUGCCUCCGGUUAACUGACCUAAAAUUGUUCAUGAUUUUUUCGAAAGUAUGUAAAUGGCUUUACGUACGUUUUCGAUAUCGAAUACAAGGUUUGGUCAUCCUCAUGCGGUGAGCC
rnacentral:misc_RNA from 1 species